rnacentral:lncRNA from 1 species
UUGCUGAUAAUCCCAAAAAAGUAGUUACAUAGUUCUCCAAAAAAAAGGAAGUUUCAAAUUAAAUUUACAUAUUAAAAAAAAACUCCAAAUAAUCCAAAUUUACACAAAAAUCCAAAGGAGCAUUCGAUUAAUUUACAGGUUACAAAAAUAAUCUAAAAUUCUGAAAAUAAUUGAAUGGAGUCUAAUGGUUUGAAGUAGUCUUCAGAGACUUUCUCCAAAGCCAAUGGUCCCUUCAUGUAGUGCCCCAACUCAAAAAGCCAGCGCCCCUUUUCAAUCAAUUCAACAUCACUUCACCUGCAAAUGCAAAACCAAAUUCAAAGUUAAAAAAAANUUUUUGUGACCUGUUUUAUCUUAGGAAUUUUUGGCACAUUUUAUUUUUGAUAAUAUUAAUGUGUUAAAAUCAAUCAAAUUAAAAGUCCAUUAAAUUGCAUUGUUGAGCCCAAUCCAUUUUCAAUUUAAAUUAUAGUAAAUUUUCUUUUGAUUAAUACUAUUAGAGUGUUAAGGCAAGGUUUAGAAUUUAAAAAAAAAAAGACUAAUUGCGCAAAUCAUGUUCCAAAUAAUGUUCCAAGUGAUAUUCCAAAUCAUAUUUCAAUUAAGUCCAAAUGUUACAAGUUACUCUAAUAGAGCUUAAAUUAAAAUUAUAAAAAGAUCUUGCUGAUAAUCCCAAAAAAGUAGUUACAUAGUUCUCCAAAAAAAAAAGGAAGUUUCAAAUUAAAUUUACAUAUUAAAAAAAAACUCCAAAUAAUCCAAAUUUACACAAAAAUCCAAAGGAGCAUUUGAUUAAUUUACAGGUUACAAAAAUAAUCUAAAAUUCUGAAAAUAAUUGAAUGGAGUCUAAUGGUUUGAAGUAGUCUUAAGAGACUUUCUCCAAAGCCAAUGGUCCCUUCGUGUCGUGCCCCAACUCAAAAAGCCAGCGCCCCUUUUCAAUCAAUUCAACAUCACUUCACCUCCAAAUGCAAAACCAAAUUCAAAGUUAAAAAAACUGCUUAUCAAAAUAAGCACUUAAAACAAACUGGAAAAUAAACCAUAAAAUAAACGGAUUAUUUGGUUAC